UUUUAUGGAGAGUUUGAUCCUGGCUCAGAGUGAACGCUGGCGGCGUGCCUAAUACAUGCAAGUCGAACGAUGAAGCUUCUAGCUUGCUAGAAUGCUGAUUAGUGGCGCACGGGUGAGUAACGCAUAGGUCAUGUGCCUCUUAGUUUGGGAUAGCCAUUGGAAACGAUGAUUAAUACCAGAUACUCCCUACGGGGGAAAGAUUUAUCGCUAAGAGAUCAGCCUAUGUCCUAUCAGCUUGUUGGUAAGGUAAUGGCUUACCAAGGCUAUGACGGGUAUCCGGCCUGAGAGGGUGAACGGACACACUGGAACUGAGACACGGUCCAGACUCCUACGGGAGGCAGCAGUAGGGAAUAUUGCUCAAUGGGGGAAACCCUGAAGCAGCAACGCCGCGUGGAGGAUGAAGGUUUUAGGAUUGUAAACUCCUUUUGUUAGAGAAGAUAAUGACGGUAUCUAACGAAUAAGCACCGGCUAACUCCGUGCCAGCAGCCGCGGUAAUACGGAGGGUGCAAGCGUUACUCGGAAUCACUGGGCGUAAAGAGCGCGUAGGCGGGAUAGUCAGUCAGGUGUGAAAUCCUAUGGCUUAACCAUAGAACUGCAUUUGAAACUACUAUUCUAGAGUGUGGGAGAGGUAGGUGGAAUUCUUGGUGUAGGGGUAAAAUCCGUAGAGAUCAAGAGGAAUACUCAUUGCGAAGGCGACCUGCUGGAACAUUACUGACGCUGAUUGCGCGAAAGCGUGGGGAGCAAACAGGAUUAGAUACCCUGGUAGUCCACGCCCUAAACGAUGGAUGCUAGUUGUUGGAGGGCUUAGUCUCUCCAGUAAUGCAGCUAACGCAUUAAGCAUCCCGCCUGGGGAGUACGGUCGCAAGAUUAAAACUCAAAGGAAUAGACGGGGACCCGCACAAGCGGUGGAGCAUGUGGUUUAAUUCGAAGAUACACGAAGAACCUUACCUAGGCUUGACAUUGAGAGAAUCCGCUAGAAAUAGUGGAGUGUCUGGCUUGCUAGACCUUGAAAACAGGUGCUGCACGGCUGUCGUCAGCUCGUGUCGUGAGAUGUUGGGUUAAGUCCCGCAACGAGCGCAACCCCCUUUCUUAGUUGCUAACAGGUUAUGCUGAGAACUCUAAGGAUACUGCCUCCGUAAGGAGGAGGAAGGUGGGGACGACGUCAAGUCAUCAUGGCCCUUACGCCUAGGGCUACACACGUGCUACAAUGGGGUGCACAAAGAGAAGCAAUACUGCGAAGUGGAGCCAAUCUUCAAAACACCUCUCAGUUCGGAUUGUAGGCUGCAACUCGCCUGCAUGAAGCUGGAAUCGCUAGUAAUCGCAAAUCAGCCAUGUUGCGGUGAAUACGUUCCCGGGUCUUGUACUCACCGCCCGUCACACCAUGGGAGUUGUGUUUGCCUUAAGUCAGGAUGCUAAAUUGGCUACUGCCCACGGCACACACAGCGACUGGGGUGAAGUCGUAACAAGGUAACCGUAGGUGAACCUGCGGUUGGAUCACCUCCUUUCUAGA
rnacentral:rRNA from 1 species